UAGUCAUAUGCUUGUCUCAAAGAUUAAGCCAUGCAUGUCUAAGUAUAAACGCCUUUAUACUGUGAAACUGCGAAUGGCUCAUUAAAUCAGUUAUAAUUUAUUUGAUAGUACCCCCUUUUACUACAUGGAUAACCGUGGUAAUUCUAGAGCUAAUACAUGCGAAAAAUCCCGACUUUCACGGAAGGGAUGUAUUUAUUAGAUAAAAAACCAACACCCUUCCUCCGGUUCGCCGGGGGAUUGAGAUGGUGACUCAUAAUAACUUGUCGAAUCGUAUGG
rnacentral:rRNA from 1 species